rnacentral:rRNA from 1 species
GAUCCUGGCUCAGGAUGAACGCUAGCUACAGGCUUAACACAUGCAAGUCGAGGGGCAGCAUGGUCUUAGCUUGCUAAGGCCGAUGGCGACCGGCGCACGGGUGAGUAACACGUAUCCAACCUGCCGUCUACUCUUGGACAGCCUUCUGAAAGGAAGAUUAAUACAAGAUGGCAUCAUGAGUUAACACGUUCACAUGAUUAAAGGUUAAUUCCGGUAGACGAUGGGAGUGCGUU